UGGCAGGUUCCUGGUGAUCAUAGCGUGGCU
rnacentral:piRNA from 1 species